ACAGACAUGAACCAUCAUUAACCUGGGAGCAUAUAUCACAUAAUUACCAUACCACUCGAGAAACUAUAUAUUGUCAACCUAAAAAUACUUCAAAAUAAAAGCAUCAAACCCUCCAUUCAUUUCUUAAUUCAUCUAAUAAGUAAAAAUUUCACUGGAUAAACACCACCCAGAUCACAUUUACUUGCUUCGAAAAUGCGAUGAAAGUUAAAAAUAGCCAUACAACUUCAUGAAAGAAAAAUGAAACUGAGGGAAAAGAAGAGUAAAAAAAUAGAACUUUAUUCAAAUCAUUAAAUCAAGGUCAGUUUAAAAAUUG
rnacentral:misc_RNA from 1 species